UACGAAGGGGGCUAGCGUUGUUCGGAAUCACUGGGCGUAAAGCGCACGUAGGCGGAUCUUUAAGUCAGGGGUGAAAUCCCGAGGCUCAACCUCGGAACUGCCUUUGAUACUGGGAUCUCGAGUCCGGGAGAGGUGAGUGGAACUGCGAGUGUAGAGGUGAAAUUCGUAGAUAUUCGCAAGAACACCAGUGGCGAAGGCGGCUCACUGGCCCGGAACUGACGCUGAGGUGCGAAAGCGUGGGAGCAACAGG
rnacentral:rRNA from 1 species